UACGAAGGGGGCUAGCGUUGUUCGGAAUACUGGCGUAAAGCGCACGUAGGCGGAUACUUAAGUCAGGGGUGAAAUCCCGGGCUCAACCCCGGAACUGCCUUUGAUACUGGGUAUCUCGAGUCCGGAAGAGGUGAGUGGAAUUCCGAGUGUAGAGGUGAAAUUCGUAGAUAUUCGCAGGAACACCAGUGGCGAAGGCGGCUUACUGGUCCAUUACUGACGCUGAGGUGCGAAAGCGUGGGAGCAACAGGAUUAAGA
rnacentral:rRNA from 1 species